rnacentral:lncRNA from 1 species
AUGGAUGAUCCAAUGGUGAUGGUCCCUUGCAAGGACACAUGAAUGCAGGUGGGUUAUGCAAUUUAUAGACAUCUAAUGAAAUGGAUCAGGCGAGGCUGGAUCUGCAGAUAUCAUCAACUUGCAGCUUCUAACACCUUAAUGCUUCUGAAAUUCUUGCGAGAAAGGUGUCAUUGCUGACAGAGUUGUUGUGGUUGUGGACUCAUGUAGGAGUGUGUUAGAGAAAAAAUCAUUAGGGUUAUAACUCAGCUCCCAGAAUGUCCAAGUAAAUUGAGCCUUUAUUUGGUCAUUGUACAUGGCUUCAGGAAGAUUCAUUGGACCCUUAGCAAGGUGGAGGUUGGUUCAUAGCACUAUAAUCAUAAUUCAGUUAUUAAAUAUGAAGAAUGUGUUUUACAAUAGAAAAUUGUUGAAUGUAGUGGAUUGGUCUACGGAAGAGAGUGAAAGAAAGAAAUUGGAAAAAUAGAAGAUGUAAUGCAAUAUAAUUAGAAGGGAAGAGAUAGAAAAAUGAGGUGGGAAAGGAGAUGGAAGGGAAAAGUGUAUGAAUUACCCUUUAUACUGCUAGUAAUAAUUUCCUCUUCUAUGUGCCUGAAUUUCUCAACUUGUUUUGUAUAAACUG